AUGGCCUCCUCUGCUGCUCCAGCUCCAGCUGUGGCCUCCUUCUCAGCUCCAGCCGUGGCCUCCUCUGCUGCUCCAGCUCCAGCUCCAGCCGUGGCCUCUUCUGCUGCUCCAGCUCCAGCCGUGGCCUCCUCUGCUGCUCCAGCUCCAGCCGUGGCCUCCUUCUCAGCUCCAGUCGUGGCCUCCUCUGCUGCUCCAGCUCCAGCCGUGGCCUCCUUCUCAGCUCCAGCCGUGGCCUCCUCUGCUGCUCCAGCCGUGGCCUCCUCUGCUGCUCCAGCCGUGGCCUCCUCUGCUGCUCCAGCUCCAGCCGUGGCCUCCUCUGCUGCUCCAGCCGUGGCCUCCUCUGCUGCUCCAGCUCCAGCUCCAGCCGUGGCCUCCUUCUCAGCUCCAGCCGUGGCCUCCUCUGCUGCUCCAGCUCCAGCCGUGGCCUCCUCUGCUGCUCCAGCCGUGGCCUCCUCUGUUGCUCCAGCUCCAGCUCCAGCCGUGGCCUCCUUCUCAGCUCCAGCCGUGGCCUCCUCUGCUGCUCCAGCUCCAGCCGUGGCCUCCUCUGCUGCUCCAGCUGUGGCCUCCUUCUCAGCUCCAGCCGUGGCCUCCUCUGCUGCUCCAGCUCCAGCUGUGGCCUCCUUCUCAGCUCCAGCUGUGGCCUCCUUCUCAGCUCCAGCCGUGGCCUCCUCUGCUGCUCCUGCUCCAGCCGUGGCCUCCUCUGCUGCUCCAGCUCCAGCUCCAGCCGUGGCCUCCUUCUCAGCUCCAGCCGUGGCCUCCUCUGCUGCUCCAGCUCCAGCCGUGGCCUCCUCUGCUGCUCCAGCCGUGGCCUCCUCUGCUGCUCCAGCUCCAGCUCCAGCCGUGGCCUCCUUCUCAGCUCCAGCCGUGGCCUCCUCUGCUGCUCCAGCUCCAGCCGUGGCCUCCUCUGCUGCUCCAGCUGUGGCCUCCUUCUCAGCUCCAGCCGUGGCCUCCUCUGCUGCUCCAGCUCCAGCCGUGGCCUCCUUCUCAGCUCCAGCCGUGGCCUCCUCUGCUGCUCCAGCCGUGGCCUCCUUCUCAGCUCCAGCCGUGGCCUCCUUCUCAGCUCCAGCCGUGGCCUCCUCUGCUGCUCCAGCCGUGGCCUCCUCUGCUGCUCCAGCUCCAGCCGUGGCCUCCUCUGCUGCUCCAGCUCCAGCCGUGGCCUCCUUCUCAGCUCCAGCCGUGGCCUCCUCUGCUGCUCCAGCCGUGGCCUCCUCUGCUGCUCCAGCUCCAGCCGUGGCCUCCUCUGCUGCUCCAGCUCCAGCUGUGGCCUCCUUCUCAGCUCCAGCCGUGGCCUCCUUCUCAGCUCCAGCUGUGGCCUCCUUCUCAGCUCCAGCCAUGGCCUCCUCUGCUGCUCCAGCUCCAGCUGUGGCCUCCUUCUCAGCUCCAGCCGUGGCCUCCUCUGCUGCUCCAGCUCCAGCUCCAGCCGUGGCCUCUUCUGCUGCUCCAGCUCCAGCCGUGGCCUCCUCUGCUGCUCCAGCUCCAGCCGUGGCCUCCUUCUCAGCUCCAGUCGUGGCCUCCUCUGCUGCUCCAGCUCCAGCCGUGGCCUCCUUCUCAGCUCCAGCCGUGGCCUCCUCUGCUGCUCCAGCUGUGGCCUCCUCUGCUGCUCCAGCCGUGGCCUCCUCUGCUGCUCCAGCUCCAGCCGUGGCCUCCUCUGCUGCUCCAGCCGUGGCCUCCUCUGCUGCUCCAGCUCCAGCUCCAGCCGUGGCCUCCUUCUCAGCUCCAGCCGUGGCCUCCUCUGCUGCUCCAGCUCCAGCCGUGGCCUCCUCUGCUGCUCCAGCCGUGGCCUCCUCUGCUGCUCCAGCUCCAGCUCCAGCCGUGGCCUCCUUCUCAGCUCCAGCCGUGGCCUCCUCUGCUGCUCCAGCUCCAGCCGUGGCCUCCUCUGCUACUCCAGCUGUGGCCUCCUUCUCAGCUCCAGCCGUGGCCUCCUCUGCUGCUCCAGCUCCAGCUGUGGCCUCCUUCUCAGCUCCAGCUGUGGCCUCCUUCUCAGCUCCAGCCGUGGCCUCCUCUGCUGCUCCAGCUCCAGCCGUGGCCUCCUCUCCUGCUCCAGCCGUGGCCUCCUCUGCUGCUCCAGCUCCAGCUCCAGCCGUGGCCUCCUUCUCAGCUCCAGCCGUGGCCUCCUCUGCUGCUCCAGCUCCAGCCGUGGCCUCCUCUGCUGCUCCAGCCGUGGCCUCCUCUGCUGCUCCAGCUCCAGCUCCAGCCGUGGCCUCCUUCUCAGCUCCAGCCGUGGCCUCCUCUGCUGCUCCAGCUCCAGCCGUGGCCUCCUCUGCUGCUCCAGCUGUGGCCUCCUUCUCAGCUCCAGCCGUGGCCUCCUCUGCUGCUCCAGCUCCAGCCGUGGCCUCCUUCUCAGCUCCAGCCGUGGCCUCCUCUGCUGCUCCAGCCGUGGCCUCCUUCUCAGCUCCAGCCGUGGCCUCCUCUGCUGCUCCAGCUCCAGCCGUGGCCUCCUUCUCAGCUCCAGCCGUGGCCUCUUUCUCAGCUCCAGCCGUGGCCUCCUCUGCUGCUCCAGCCGUGGCCUCCUCUGCUGCUCCAGCUCCAGCCGUGGCCUCCUCUGCUGCUCCAGCUCCAGCCGUGGCCUCCUUCUCAGCUCCAGCCGUGGCCUCCUCUGCUGCUCCAGCCGUGGCCUCCUCUGCUGCUCCAGCUCCAGCCGUGGCCUCCUCUGCUGCUCCAGCUCCAGCCGUGGCCUCCUUCUCAGCUCCAGUUGUGGCCUCCUCUCCUACUCCAGCUCCAGCAGUGCCCUCUUCUGCUGCUCCAGCCAUGGCCUCCUUCUCAGCUCCAGCCGUGGCCUCCUUCUGA
ensembl:lncRNA